GUGGGGAAUAUUGGACAAUGGGCGAAAGCCUGAUCCAGCCAUGCCGCGUGUGUGAAGAAGGUCUUCGGAUUGUAAAGCACUUUAAGUUGGGAGGAAGGGUAGUAACCUAAUACGUUGCUACUUUGACGUUACCGACAGAAUAAGCACCGGCUAACUUCGUGCCAGCAGCCGCGGUAAUACGAAGGGUGCAAGCGUUAAUCGGAAUUACUGGGCGUAAAGCGCGCGUAGGUGGUUCAGUAAGUUGGAAGUGAAAUCCCCGGGCUCAACCUGGGAACUGCGUUCAAAACUGCUGAAGUAGAGUACGGUAGAGGGUGGUGGAAGUUCCUGUGUAGCGGUGAAAUGCGUAGAUAUAGGAAGGAACACCAGUGGCGAAGGCGACCACCUGGACUGAUACUGACACUGAGGUGCGAAAGCGUGGGGAGCAAACAGGAUUAGAUACCCCAGUAGUCC
rnacentral:rRNA from 1 species